GACGAACGCUGGCGGCGUGCCUAAUACAUGCAAGUAGAACGCUGAAGAGAGGAGCUUGCUCUUCUUGGAUGAGUUGCGAACGGGUGAGUAACGCGUAGGUAACCUGCCUGGUAGCGGGGGAUAACUAUUGGAAACGAUAGCUAAUACCGCAUGAUAUUAAUUAUUGCAUGAUAAUUGAUUGAAAGAUGCAAUUGCAUCACUACCAGAUGGACCUGCGUUGUAUUAGCUAGUUGGUGAGGUAACGGCUCACCAAGGCGACGAUACAUAGCCGACCUGAGAGGGUGAUCGGCCACACUGGGACUGAGACACGGCCCAGACUCCUACGGGAGGCAGCAGUAGGGAAUCUUCGGCAAUGGGGGGAACCCUGACCGAGCAACGCCGCGUGAGUGAAGAAGGUUUUCGGAUCGUAAAGCUCUGUUGUAAGAGAAGAACGGGUGUGAGAGUGGAAAGUUCACACUGUGACGGUAUCUACCA
rnacentral:rRNA from 1 species